AUUGAACGCUGGCGGCAGGCUUAACACAUGCAAGUCGAGCGGGGGAGGUUGCUUCGGUAACUGACCUAGCGGCGGACGGGUGAGUAAUGCUUAGGAAUCUGCCUAUUAGUGGGGGACAACAUUCCGAAAGGGAUGCUAAUACCGCAUACGCCCUACGGGGGAAAGCAGGGGAUCUUCGGACCUUGCGCUACUAAAUGAGCCCAAGUCGGAUUAGCUAGUUGGUGGGGUAAAGGCCUACCAAGGCGACGAUCUGUAGCGGGUCUGAGAGGAUGAUCCGCCACACUGGGACUGAGACACGGCCCAGACUCCUACGGGAGGCAGCAGUGGGGAAUAUUGGACAAUGGGGGGAACCCUGAUCCAGCCAUGCCGCGUGUGUGAAGAAGGCCUUUUGGUUGUAAAGCACUUUAAGCGAGGAGGAGGCUACCGAGAUUAAUACUCUUGGAUAGUGGACGUUACUCGCAGAAUAAGCACCGGCUAACUCUGUGCCAGCAGCCGCCGUAACAC
rnacentral:rRNA from 1 species